rnacentral:piRNA from 1 species
UACUCACAGUUAGAUGCAGUAUGGAGACUA